UGCCCCGACUGCUCCUUCUUCCUGCCACUGAGAAGAAAUCUGGUCCUCAUGCAGCCGCAGGCGGCUAUGCGAGGCCCGCAGGAGGCCAUUUGGGCAGUUAAGGACGAGGAGCACGUUUGGAGUUGUCCAACACUAGUGUGACUCCAAGACACGGAGAAAGACGUGACCCUUUAUCUUGUGGGAAUUCACAGGCUCCGGGGAAGACAGACUUGUUACCCAGUAAAGCCGCGCAAGGUGACAGCUGCUCUACGAGAUCUGGUAAGCAGGUGAUAUAUCCUGAUCCAAGCAACAGAAAGAUGGUACCCAAGUUGAAGAGUCAUUGAUGUUUCAAGCAGUCGUGAAGUACUUUCUGUGUUUCCAGCAACACUCCAGGUGAAAACACUGAACUCAAAAAGACUUCAAGGAAGAAGAAAACGUUUUGCUUCACAAAAUUAAAAUAUCCAAGGGAUGGCGGAGGCAUGGCUCCAUCCAGGGCUCAGGUCAGCGACGCACUGAAGCUGAUUAUGUCCCCAACCAUGCAGACAGGCAGAUCGCGAGCACCGCGCGCUGGAUGGCUUGGCGCGGGCUGCAGAGUCUCCCCGGGACCCGUCCAUCACCGGCUCGCAGCUGGCACUUGGAAAUGAGAGAGACUCGUUCCAUAUUCCCAAUCAAUGUCCGUCUGCCAUCUCUGUCGAUAACUGCCGGGCGGUCUAAUCUUUCCCCUGACAGAAAGGCGCCUGGGGGUCAGCCUGAAGAUGCUCUGGAGGAAAAAAGCAGUGGUUUGAUGCAGAGCCUUCUCGCGGGGCUGGAAUUAAGUUGGCUCUUUCUCUAAUGAAACUGACUCCAAGGGUCUCUGUGAACCAGAGAUUCGGCGGCUCUCAGGAGGAGCGGUGAUGGGCAGUAAUAUUAAAGCUGUGUGCAUGUGCGGCCCUGAAUCCUAACCACUUGGAUGAUGUUUGCAAGGUGCUUCUAGCCCUGCAGGAAGCAGGGUUUGCCACGCAUACGAAAGGCACACCGUGGGCACACAGUGAGGGCAGCCCAGCCCGGCCCUCGUUUCCCACCUGCCGGUGAAGAGAGCGGGCAGGAAAAGGCUCAGGAUCUCUCUCAGGGGAGCAUCUUACCCUACCCACACCAUUCAUGCUCACAAGUGGGAUUCCCUGUCCCAUAGGAAUUUACUGGGAGGAUGAACGGAAUCUCCCUCUGGAUGAAGAUCUAGACUAGAGUCCAAACGACAAGGAGCCACCUCCUGCUACCACCCCAGCCACAGGGCUUCUGCCCACCAGGGCCAGUCCCCAGCUUCUCAAGCACCAGCACCUCCCGAAGCGCCUGAGAUCCUCAUGGAUGAAUUCAUCUCCCCUGCCCAGCAUCCUCUGACACCUAGGGAGCCUUUUCCUGAUACUCAGGGCUUCUCCUGUGCUCCUUCCCACCAACCAAGAUCCCUUGGUUUCCAAGUUGACUGCUGCUGGCGCAAGGGAGGAUGGAAGAUAUCAGUUGCACAUGAGCUGGCGUUUUAAGCCGACCUUCCCAACUUGUGACCAGCCCGUGAUGGUGUGUCAGAAAGGACAGUGUCCACCGGCGUGGCUGCAAAACCAGAGACCCUGCAAACAUCACUGGUUCAAUCAAAAUAGAAGGUGCUCUGUGUUGUAAAGAUUCCUGUAAGUGAGCUUCCAGGGCUGACAUGGUAGGUCUGCUCCAGGAAGCCCCAGGGUCCCGAGUGUGGACAGCUGUGCUGGGAAAGAGUGGACAUGCAGAAUCCAGUUUUCCAGUUUGGGCCCCACCACUGUGACACUGCAGUGUAAAAUGGGAACAAGGAGCAACUGAUGAAGAAAAGAACUGGAUUACCACGAAUGCUGUUAGGAAUCUUUGCCGAUCUGCAUCCAGAGCCAGGUUUAAACCACAGGCAGGGUUGUAACCAUGGCUUUGAAUGCUGGUCUCUGUCCGGCGGCGUGCUCUCAGGUGAGCUCCUCAGCUUCCCGGAGGUGAAAGGAGGAAUGCAAAGCUCUGGCCUCAGCAGAUUGUUAGGUGGGCCCACAAGCUGAUGACCUGUGUGGAAAGACCUGGGUGUAGUGGGCUUCCCCAGCAUUGCUCUCGGGAUUAUCAUUACAGUAUUAUUUGUGGUUAUUCCUGAUGAUAGAAUGAGGUGCUGCCUAAAAUCCUAGUGACAGGCACAGAGGAAGUUCUUCAGAAAGUGUCAUCAUAAAGCUGAUGUCAGUGUGGAAAAUGGAAAGGUCCCCUCGUGUGGAUAGCUCGAGCCCACCCUUGGCCCUGUUUCCAGAGGUUCCACCAAGGCUGCUCAGAGCUCUGUCUGUGACCCCCUCACCCUCUGCCGGCCCCGUGCUGGUCUCUGGGAUGCCAUGGCCCCUCCUUCUGCAUUCCCAGGUGACAGCCUCGCCUCCCUGCUUCUUUCCUACCAUCAUCCAUGGCCCGAGACACGGCCAGAGAGCAAGCAAACAGGUGCCCGUCAGGGACAGGGAGUCGUCUGGAUCAGGAGGGUGAGGAAACCAAGAAAAUCUUCACCUCUAGAAGGAGGCCUGGGAACCAGACUGAGUGUGAGCGAGCUGCUUUGAACCACAGAAGAGACCUGAGAGAAUCAAUCAGUUCCUCUGGGUCUCUGUGGGACAAGUCCAGAGCCUCAGCUCCUCUCUGCGAUGUCCCAGCCAGGUCUGAUCCCGAGAUGCCCCCACCCCUGACUGCCCACGCGGUCUCCUUUGCUCCCUACCCUCUGUGAGGGGACCUGAGCUCAUUGUACCACUGGUGGGCUUUGUCUCCUGUCUGCUCUCCAUGCACAGGCUGUGCUUCCUGAGGCUGGGGCUGCAGAGGCAUGGAGUGGAGGGUCUGGGGUCUGGUUGGAACCCGGGGUUAGGUUCUCUUCAGUUUCUUCUCCUU